GAAUAUUGCGCAAUGGGCGAAAGCCUGACGCAGCCAUGCCGCGUGGAUGAUGAAGGCCUUCGGGUCGUAAAGUCCUUUUGUCGGGGAAGAACAUGCUGGGUUAAUACCCUGGCCCUGACGGUACCCGGCGAAUAAGCAACGGCUAACUCCGUGCCCGCAGCCGCGGUAAUACGGAGGUUGCGAGCGUUGUUCGGAAUUACUGGGCGUAAAGGGAGCGCAGGCGGCUAGUGUAAGUCCAAAGUGAAAUCCCGGGGCUCAACCUCGGACGUGCUUUGGAUACUGCCUGGCUUGAGUUCGUGAGAGGUGAGCGGAAUUCCAGGUGUAGCGGUGAAAUGCGUAGAUAUCUGGAGGAACAUCGGUGGCGAAGGCGGCUCACUGGCGCGAAACUGACGCUGAGGCUCGAAAGCGUGGGGAGCGAACGGG
rnacentral:rRNA from 1 species